UACAGAGGGUGCAAGCGUUAAUCGGAAUUACUGGGCGUAAAGCGUGCGCAGGCGGUUAUGUAAGACAGGUGUGAAAUCCCCGGGCUUAACCUGGGAACUGCAUUUGUGACUGCAUAGCUAGAGUACGGUAGAGGGGGAUGGAAUUCCGCGUGUAGCAGUGAAAUGCGUAGAUAUGCGGAGGAACACCGAUGGCGAAGGCAGCCCCCUGGGCUAACACUGACGCUCAGGCACGAAAGCGUGGGGAGCAAACAGG
rnacentral:rRNA from 1 species